AACGAACGCUGGCGGCAGGCUUAACACAUGCAAGUCGAGCGCCCCGCAAGGGGAGCGGCAGACGGGUGAGUAACGCGUGGGAAUCUACCCAUCUCUACGGAAUAACGCAUGGAAGCGUGUGCUAAUACCGUAUACGUCCUUCGGGAGAAAGAUUUAUCGGAGAUGGAUGAGCCCGCGUUGGAUUAGCUAGUUGGUGGGGUAAAGGCCUACCAAGGCGACGAUCCAUAGCUGGUCUGAGAGGAUGAUCAGCCACACUGGGACUGAGACACGGCCCAGACUCCUACGGGAGGCAGCAGUGGGGAAUAUUGGACAAUGGGCGCAAGCCUGAUCCAGCCAUGCCGCGCGAGUGAUGAAGGCCCUAGGGUUGUAAAGCUCUUUCACCGGUGAAGAUAAUGACGGUAACCGGAGAAGAAGCCCCGGCUAACUUCGUGCCAGCCGCCGCAGUAACAC
rnacentral:rRNA from 1 species